GGCCUUGAUUCAGAUGAUUUGGAAUGCCACACAAGCUAUCGUAAUCUUCUCACAAUACUUCCGGAUGGUCCCGAAGUCAUAGAGAGAGCUUACGAGGCUGUCGAGAAGAAAGUUGGAGAGGAGGAAAAAUAUGUUCAAGUGUGGUUACGUUAUCAAUCCUUGUGGGACAUGGAAACUGGUCUCAUUUAUAGCAAACUUGAUAAUAGUCUAGAGAGAUGGAUCAUUCUACUGAGGAAUAUCAGAAAGUCCCGUGUUAAAUUUGAUACACAAGAAACAAGAAAGGAAUUUGGACCUAUUGUUAUUGACUUCCAACAGGUUCAAUCUAAAGUAAAUCUUAAGUAUGACAGUUGGAUCCAUGCUUGGCAAGAAUAUGAAUGAUUUUUAUGGAACA